UACGUAGGGGGCAAGCGUUGUCCGGAUUUAUUGGGCGUAAAGAGCGUGUAGGCGGCUGGGUAGGUCCGUUGUGAAAACUCGAGGCUCAACCUCGAGACGCCGAUGGAAACCCUCCAGCUAGAGUCCGGAAGAGGAGAGUGGAAUUCCUGGUGUAGCGGUGAAAUGCGCAGAUAUCAGGAAGAACACCCGUGGCUAAGGCGGCUCUCUAGUACGGUACUGGACGCUGAGACGCGAAAGCGUGGGGAGCGAACAGG
rnacentral:rRNA from 1 species